AUUCAACCGACGAGUUCAAAAUAGGACGAAAUACGCGUCCUGAAU
rnacentral:hammerhead_ribozyme from 1 species